rnacentral:lncRNA from 10 species
CAAACAGCCCGACCUGCAAACAGCCACGGUGUCCCUGCUGACCCCGUGCCUCCAGCACAGCCUCCUCCUGGACUUGGUUUUAUCCACAGCUGCUGAGGUCACUUGCUCCAACUCCAGAAGGAAUUCUGCUCACAGCUGUCACACUGACCAGCACGUCCCAGGUCCUCAGAACUUUCCCAGCGCCAGUGAACUUUCUCAAAGAGCAAUAGGUAACCUUCUCCUUUCUUGUAAAACCACCAACCUUCUACUGCUUCUCCAACCUCCACCAUUUACCUGGUCGGCACAUAUGCCCCAAGAUGCAAUCCUUUCUUCCCAAAUAAAACGUUAAACUUGG